GGAGGGGGGUGGAGAGGGUGGGCUGCUUCACAGAAAACCUUAGAAGCUUGAUGGGAGAAAAAGACUCCUUGGAUGGAAACAUCUCUUGAUUUUCACUCUGCAUCAGCAGCUGUCCAUGGAAGCAAAUGCAUUAUGCAUUACUGUUUUGGAUAUUAGUUCUGAAAACGCCAACCACCAUUCUGAACAUCAAAGCUUGCCUUCUAUCAAGGACUUGGCUUUGAAGACAAAGUGCUGGCUAUUCACCUCUUGACCCUGGGCUCUAUCCAUCCACCUGCAAAAAAUUCAAAGAAGUUUCACGACCAUAGCCACAUAGUGUCUCACCAAGGACAUCAUUGGGAAUUCUGGGACGUUCUUGCUUAGGAGGGACCUAAGGCAGGGGAUUGUCCUGCGACAUGGCAGAGAGAGCCUGGCGCUCAUACACUCUCCUGGACAUGGGGACUCAGCGACUGGACGAGGCUGCUGCAUAGUGAGCUGUGGAUGAGCAGCUGAUGUGUUCCAACCUGGCUUGCAGAUAAAGAAAUCUGUUUACAGAGGCUGUGGCUGGUCCAAGUCUAUUUCUGAAGCCAAGCCUCCUCUCCAGCCCACUUCCUGCACUCUUCUCCUUCCAGAAGCCAUGACAGAAAGUCAAAUGGGAGAGUCUUUGGAAUGUAGAAGUAGAGAAAUGGCUUUCAUGUCUUGAAAGGAUGACUGCAUUUGGACUAAUACAUGUCAGGCUUUGCCCAUAAACAUCAAAAUGCAAACAAGACAGACAGUACACCCUU